ensembl:snoRNA
UGCGCUGAUGCUAUCACUAAUAGGAAGUGCCAUCAGAAGUGAUAACUGAUAAUAACUACUCCUGGCUGAAU